GGCUGGACUAAUUGGUACAUAGGAACUACUGAGACCCCAGGAUACGGCAUACUGGGUUUGUGAUCUCAAUAGUUGCUAUGGGAUCAUGUAUGUUGUUGAUAGCCUGCUGGAUAUUCACACGGCUGUUGCUGAGCUCAUGAGCAUUUUCUAAUGAUUGUAUAAACUGAGAACAAAUGAUAUCGUAUUGCCUUUCUUGAAAAAGAUCCUGUGGAAGGAUCGAAACGUCGAUUGUCUGAGGCUACAAUAAAGAAAAUUAUCAUUGAAGAAGCGUUGUACUAGUGAGAGUG